AUGGACGGGCCGAGUGCCCCCUCUGGAGCGUCGCUGUGUCCGGCUGGCGCAGACCCUUCCCGUGGGACUGGCCCCUCGUGCCCAGUGUUCCUGGAGCCCGUCCGUGGAUUACCCUGGAAAACACAGGAAGAAGUUAUUGAGGCCGGGACAGGGCUGCAGUUUGGAGCCCUGUGCAGGGACUUAGCUGGGACAGACACAGAACGAGAGACAGACCCCCCCCCACACACACACACGCACAUGCACAUGCAUGCGCACGAGUGCGCGCGCGCACACACACACACAGAGUCUCUCUCACUCUCACACACAGAGAGUCUCUCUCUCGCUCUCUCUCACACACAGUCUCUCUCUCUCUCUCUCUCUCUCUCUCUCUCUCUCUCUCACACACACACACAGUCUCUCACUCUCACACACAGUCUCUCUCUCACACACACACACACAGAGUCUCUCUCGCUCUCUCUCACACACAGUCUCUCUCUCUCUCUCUCUCUCUCUCUCUCUCUCUC
rnacentral:lncRNA from 1 species